rnacentral:rRNA from 1 species
GUGCUCUGAUGCUUAUUGCACCACAUGUGUUUUUUAUUGAACAAAUUUCUUUGGUGGCGGGAGCAAUCCUACCGCCAGAGGUUAUAACUAAACCAAACUUUUUAUUUACAGUCAAACUUGAUUUAUUAUUACAAUAGUCAAAACUUUCAACAACGGAUCUCUUGGUUCUCGCAUCGAUGAAGAACGCAGCGAAAUGCGAUACGUAAUAUGAAUUGCAGAUAUUCGUGAAUCAUCGAAUCUUUGAACGCACAUUGCGCCCUUUGGUAUUCCAAAGGGCAUGCCUGUUUGAGCGUCAUUUCUCCCUCAAACCCCCGGGUUUGGUGUUGAGCAAUACGCUAGGUUUGUUUGAAAGAAUUUAACGUGGAAACUUAUUUUAAGCGACUUAGGUUUAUCCAAAACGCUUAUUUUGCUAGUGGCCACCACAAUUUAUUUCAUAACUUUGACCUCAAAUCAGGUAGGACUACCCGCUGAACUUAAGCAUAUCAAAAGCCGGGAGGGAA